GAUGAACGCUGGCGGCGUGCCUAAUACAUGCCAGUCGAGCGAACAGACGAGGAGCUUGCUCCUCUGACGUUAGCGGCGGACGGGUGAGUAACACGUGGAUAACCUACCUAUAAGACUGGGAUAACUUCGGGAAACCGGAGCUAAUACCGGAUAAUAUAUUGAACCGCAUGGUUCAAUAGUGAAAGACGGUUUUGCUGUCACUUAUAGAUGGAUCCGCGCCGCAUUAGCUAGUUGGUAAGGUAACGGCUUACCAAGGCGACGAUGCGUAGCCGACCUGAGAGGGUGAUCGGCCACACUGGAACUGAGACACGGUCCAGACUCCUACGGGAGGCAGCAGUAGGGAAUCUUCCGCAAUGGGCGAAAGCCUGACGGAGCAACGCCGCGUGAGUGAUGAAGGUCUUCGGAUCGUAAAACUCUGUUAUUAGGGGAGAACAAAUGUGUAAGUAACUAUGCACGUCUUGACGGUACCUAAUCAGAAAGCCACGGCUAACUACGUG
rnacentral:rRNA from 1 species